UACGAAGGGGGCUAGCGUUGCUCGGAAUCACUGGGCGUAAAGGGCGCGUAGGCGGACUCUUAAGUCGGGGGUGAAAGCCCAGGGCUCAACCCUGGAAUUGCCUUCGAUACUGAGAGUCUUGAGUUCGGAAGAGGUUGGUGGAACUGCGAGUGUAGAGGUGAAAUUCGUAGAUAUUCGCAAGAACACCAGUGGCGAAGGCGGCUCUCUGGGCAGAUACCGACGCUGAGACGCGAAAGCGUGGGAAGCAAACA
rnacentral:rRNA from 1 species